UGAAAAGUGGGGAAAUACAAUUGAACUUUGUCAACAACGAAAAAGGAAGCAUUACAGUUUCAUGCCCUUAAAAGUCCACACACCUUUAGAGAGAGAUUAUCUUCAAAUGCAGUAUAACUUUCCUUCAGACCUUUUUGCUAACAAAGCACCAGAAAUUACUUCCUGCCAUCGAGCAGUUGCACUAAAUUAUGGAAUUAGUGCAAAUUCAGCAAUAACAUCAUCAACAAUACUUUACAGUACCCAAAAGAUUUACAGUACAAAGUUGUCAGCAUGGACAACACCCAUUAAAGCACUGCACAUGAAGAGGACCUUAGAGAAAUACCACCAAAACACUAACAUUAAUGCCAGAUUCAAAACUCUUCAAAAAGAUUACCUUCAAUAACUAAUGCUGACACAAGUACAAAACAAUUUCUUUUUUUGCUUUCCUUCCAGCUUGUGUGUAUCAUAUAAUGUAUCAUAUAAAAGUCAAACAAUGUAUCAUGACACAAAUAACUGAACAGUUAAAACAACAACGAAUUGC
rnacentral:lncRNA from 1 species